GUUUUGGUGAGUUUGUGUGAAUUGCAGCUUCAGUUUGCAUUUCUCAGGGGGAAAGAGUAUCACCCAGUGUGAUCUUCUGCUGCAGUAACCCAUCUGCUAUACAUUUAAAUGUGUUGUGUAUUCCGAAAUGCUCUUCUGCAUGCCCUGAUCGUAACAAGAGGUUAUUUAAGUUACUGUUGUCUUCGUAUCAGCUUGAGACAGUCUGGCCUUUCUCCUGUAUAUAGAGUUGUAUAUAUAGAGUAUAUAGAGUUUUUCAUUCAGAGAACAGCUGCUCUAUUUCCUCUUUGUCAGACUCUUCUCUGUAAACCCAGGAGAGAAAUCCCAGCAGAUCAGCAGCUUCUGAAACAGACAGCUGGUCUGGCACCAACAACCGUUCAGGGUCACCCGUAUCACCUUUCUUCACCAUUACAAUGAGAACACAAAUCCAUGAAGAAAAAAAGAUUUAUGAAACACAUUUCAGUGCAAAUAAAACAUCUUCAUGUUCCCUCGAUGGUCUUGGUGUCAGAAAUGAAAUAAAAACAAACAUUUUAAGGAUAACAGACAAACAGGAAACAGCUGAUUGCAGACACAGCUUUAGUUACUUAUUGAAAUUCACAAAAUCAUUUUGUUGUUUUUGAAAGAGUUUAAUGUCAAUACAAAGUCAAUCUCAGCAGAUAGUGCACUUACAAAAACUGUGAACCACUGAUAUAAAUAAGACUAUUUUGGUGUCACUCAGCUCUUUAUUUUCUGUCCUUUAAGCAAAUUUCUAUAUACGUGACUUUCAAUCUGUUUCUUGUUAAACACAGACCACCAGAUUCCAGUAAUGUAUUGCUGACAGGGCACUAACCAUUAAAUCCUUUUUUCUUUUUUUUCUUUUUUUUAAGACAGUGCAAUAAUAAAGCUGAUCUUUGUUAGCUUCUUUUUUUGCUGCCGUGUGCUCUCAGAGACAAACAGCCUACAGAUGUAGCUGGUCUGAGCUCCAUGAGCUGUAAAAAGUACUGCCAGCAGAAUAAAAUCAAACAAAAACAGUUUAUUCUCUGCAGCACAAACUACGUGUAAUGUGGUUCAUCAUAAGUUACUAAGCUGAUCUCCACAUAUCUGUGUGAAAUCUGAGAUCUCAGUCAGCGCCUUCUCUUUCUGUUAUUUAACCUGAGGAGGUUUAAAACAGAAGUUUUGUUUUCAGCACAUAUAGCAGCUACAGAAGGAGCAGCACCUGACCCACAUAACAUAUAAAGACUUUUAAAAAAUUACUUCUUUUUUUUUUUGCUAAUGCUUUGGGGUACUGUUCAUAUUUUAGAUCAGGAUCCAUUCUCAAAAACCAAAAUUUUGUUCCAGUGAGUCUCAAGCUUUGUUACGUUUAUUUGAGAAAAAAAAUAAAAGCUUGUUGAUCAGUGUAAUCAGUCACUCAGGAGGAGGAGAGAAACAACGUCCUGUGGAUUAGAAACCUCUCUGUGUGAUAGUUUUAAUCACGGCAUGAUGACAUUGCUAUGUCAGCCUUUCCUUACUGGAACUUCUUUCAGCCACACUCAUUUCUUUAACUCUGUACAGGAAACUUGUUUCAUGUAAGUAUAAUCAGCUCUGCUGCUGCUCGGUGGUCUCCAUCCUUCUGUCCCAAAUGGCUUCUUUCAAAUUCUUCCUCUUUUUGUCUCUAAUCUCAGACUUAACAGGUGAGCAAAAUGAACAUUUUUAUUCAUGUUUUAAUUCCUUGCUUAGUCCCAUGUGAUCCAUUUAACUGGUUAACUCUAAACCCCAAACCAGGAAAUAAUAGUUUAUAAUUGUGAUGUCUUCAGCUUUUCAGCAGGAUGUUCAGGUGAAGCUUGGAGAUGACGUCACUCUCCAGUGUCAGGUUUCCACAGAUGAAAUAAUCUCAGUGCUGAAGUGGAGCAGAGCUGACCUGAACACAGACGGCUACGUCUACUUCUACAGGAACAAACGCUCCUAUGAAAACUACCAACAUCCAUCUUUUCAUGGUCGAGUGAAGCUGAGGGACCCGGAGAUGAAGGAUGGAGACGUUUCUCUGAUCCUGAAGAAAGUCACGUUUAAUGACACUGGGAUUUAUGAGUGUCACGUAGCAGUGAGGAACCCUGUGAGAAGUAAAAGAGUUCACACUGAGAUCAGUCGCUUCAUCAACCUCACAGUCACAGGUGAAACACAUGAAAGCGUGUCAGAGAAACGAGUCGUGGAAAGAGGAGACGCAGAUGAAAACAUGGAUGGUACUGAAAGGGUCGGAGCUCCAUCUCUUCAGUUUUCUGUGACCAAUUUUGAGGAACUUCCUUCUGACCUAUUGAAAAAACAACAGGGUGUAUGGACUUUGUCAGUGGAUAAUUUUUCCAUCCUGAUGAUCAGAAGAGUGUUUGAGGGUUUCAGAGAUCCUUCAGAUCAACAGUAUUUGUUUGUCACAUGUCUGGACUUGCAGCUGCUCAAACAGGACAAACAAAGGUGGGGGUGAAAAUGUUGAUGCAGGUCACAGAUGUCUGAUAUAAAACAGCUGACAGAAAAUACAGGUUAGUUUAGUCUGCAGCUGUUUGAUACAGACAUACCUUUACUUUGGGAUUUUAAACUUUUACAUUUUUUAUGAUUUGAUUUUUUUUUAUUUCUCAAAUAUUUACAUCUGAGUAACUUUUUACUUCUUUGUAACAAAACUUCAGUCGCUUCCUUUUCACCUACUGAAAAACCGAUGGGACAUACUGACCUCACAGUUUUUUAUCUGUCAGUAGAUCAUUUUAUUUUUUCCACUCUGAUGAUCAGAAGAGUGUUUGAGUGUUUCAGAGAUCCUUCAGAACAACAGUAAGUGUUUAAUAUGACAUCUUUAAGUCUUCUAAGUAAUCUGACAGGUUGACUGAUUUCACAGGCAGUGUUGAGUGGGAGUUUCUCUUUAUAUGUUUGUGUUAGUGGAAAAUGUGAUGGAACUUUCCCUGCAGUGCGAUCAGCUGUGGUCAAUCUUUUUAAUUAUUGCACACAGGACAGCUAAACAGACAGCGAACAUCACUGUCCCACAGUCGGGAGAGCUCUGCCCUUGAGACGCCACAGGUUCCUGCUGACCCAAUGAAAAUGCUGAUGGGGAAUACCAGCCUCACACUUUUCUGUCACUGGAUAAUUUUUCCAUCCUGAUGAUCAGAAGAACAACCAGAAAAACAUCACAGCAAAGUCUGGACAGAACGUCACUCUGACAUGUCGAGCUCCAAACAGCAACAUUGGAGUUAUAGAGUGGAGCAGAACUGACCUGAAGGAAGAAUAUGUCCUUUUGUACCGAGAUGGACACUUAGAUCAAGAUCACCAGCAUCCAUCUUUUAAGAACCGGUCGGAUCUGCAGGACAGACAGAUGAAGGAUGGAGACGUGUCUGUGAUUCUGAAAUAUGUGACGAUUAAUGACACUGGAACAUACAAGUGUUGUGUCCAGAAAGACGGAGACAGUUUGAAGCUCAUCUGCAACAUCACCCUGAGUGUUGAUCCUCCAGGUCAGACAGGAGGAGACACGGAGGAUGGAGGGAAGGAGGAUGGAUCUGUUCUGAAAGUUGGUCUUCCAGUUGGGGUUAUUGUUGCUGCUGCUGUUGUUGUUGUUGUGUGCUACAGACGAUAUAAACAGAGUCUGGAUUCACAUCGUCCUAAUGCAGAACCAUAGACUGAAAUGUCUGAGAGCUUCCUGAACUCUGAAUCUUCUGCUGCUGAACACAAAGACAAAUGAUCUGAAAACAGACACCAUCACUUCAGAAGGAUCCACGAUUUCACUCUAAUAUUUGACAAUGAACCGUUUCAUCGUCAUCCUCUGCAGAAAACAGCAUAACUGCUUGAUAAUGUCUGACAGCAGUUUGAAGAGGAAAUGGAUUCUGUUCUGUUCUUCACUCAUCACCUACCUGACAGCUGACACCUCACACCUGUUUCUCACCUGCAGGUCAAGGAGGAGACACAGAGGACGGGUCUGUUGGACUAAUAGUUGGUCUCUUAGUUUCUGCUAUGGUUUCUGUUGUUGUUGUUGUUGGUUUUCUGAUCUAUAGAAAACAUCAGAAAGGUGUUUUAUAACUGAGCUGUUAAAUCUCACUGUCACAUGACACAUGACUUGUUGAUCAGCUCCAGCUGAAUGAAUGUUAUAAUGAACAGUGUUAUGAAAUUAUUUCCAUGGAGCUGCAGAGUCAGAUGUUUCCUCUCCGAUCUGUGAAACUUUGAACUUUUCCUACAGUGAAGGAAAAUCUUCAGUCUGUUGUUGCAGUUUAAACCAGAUCACACAUUAGUUUAACAUUUAACAAUGUUUUUUGUGACUUUUCUUGUUCAUUUCUUAUAAAUUUUGAAAGAUCAGUCCUGAAUUGUUUCUAUUAAUUUUCUUUAAUUCUUAAAUUUUUUGUUUUCUGUGGCCGUAAAAGAUGAAAGAAGUUUUCUGACCUUUUCCUGCAGAUUUUAUCUGACCUGAAUGAGUCCAAACAGACCACUGAACAUGUGUGAAGGAAAAAAACACACAAUAAAAAUGCUCUUUGAAACCGUUUCCCUGCCUGAGAGAUGAAGCUGAGAUUUAAGUUUGUUCCUGUAACAAGAAACAAAAAGAUGGAGGAUCGCUCUCAGAGUGGAAACAUGAUUUGAAGCUGCUGUGAACAGAUUUAAAUGAUGCUCAUUUUUAGACAAUGUUUUGAUAACUGUGCAGGGUUAUCAAACUUUUUCAUUCUUCAACCUGAAAAUAU
ensembl:lncRNA